GGAUCGGGUAGGCUGCGUGUGGGCUCUGGGAGACUGAGAAGGACCCCAGUGUCUGGGGUACUUCACUGUGCUGGGUGGCUGAGGAGCAAUGAAAUCAAGCGGCCAGGGCCCAAGGAGAGGGUAGCUCCAGGGGCUGCUGAGGGGAUCGGGAGGAAGGGCUGAGAGACGGGGUCAGAGCAGAUGGUCACCAGGCCGCACGGAGCCCUGGCGGAGACCCUCUGCCGCUGCCUGGCAGCACAUUCAGGCUCAGAGCCCAAGUGGAAGAAGGAAUGUGGGUGCACUCAGCACAGGCGCAUCGAUUUGGGGGUGGUUGGGGUGCCUCUAAUUCUCUGUCCCAAAUGGCCUCACCUCAGGGAGGGGUCAUGGCUGUGCCUUCAGCAUCUGAUGGGCGUUUCCAGCCUGCCUGGGUGGCCCAGGGGCCAGAGAGUUUGACAGGUUCUCUGGGGAUGGAUUGCUUUUGGUUUCUCAGAGGCAGGACUCUGGUCGGAAUCUUGGCCUCACAACUGCCAAGCCCCGCCCCCCACCCAGGUCACUGUCCUGCGGCAAAGGGGCUGAUGGUCAGGAAUGGAGCGCCUAACAGUGGUGCUGGCUCCUCUGGGCGACUGUGCAAAUCGCCAGGCUUUGUGCUUCAAGACCCUCCCCCAAAUUCCCUCUCUCUUUCCUUUGGGGCCUCGUUUUCCUGUCCCCAAGCCCUGUUUCAGGGAGCAGACUUAAAGGUGGUUCUCGGGAAUUAAAGUAGGGUAAUCGAUUGAAAGGAUGCUCUCAUGGCACAUGUGGGUGGAGAAAACAGAGGGUUGAAGGCAUUACGUUGUGGUGGGGGGUGCGUGCUGGGAGUCUUUGAGAGAAUUCACCCCUCUCUCUGGGCACUUCACUUGGCUUAGAAGGUGAGGAGGAAUUCUAUCAAGCUGGCAGCUGCCCAAGGCCAGGAGAGCCCUGGGGGGCUGCUGAGGGAAACCGGAGGAAAGGCUGAGAGUCAGUGUUAGAGGAGACGGCCUCCGGAAGGGGCCAGAGCACAGACAAAGCCCAUCUGAAGCCCCCUGGCUGCACCUCUAGGCUACGAGGUGGUGCCAAGAGGGGUUAGUGGGAGCCCCAGGAUGUGUUAAGAUGGCUCACAGGGCACCACUGACUCUCUGGCACCAAUCGACUGACCUCAGGGAGCAGAAAGACAUUGCUUUCUGCAUCUGAUGGGUAGUUCCAUCCGGCUCUGGCUGCCCAGGGGCCAGAGAGGUGGACAUGUUCUCUGGGGUUGGUUUGCUCUUAGUUUCUCAGGGGGCAGGGACACUGGACCCACAAUAUCUGCUUGAAUCUUGGCCUCGCAAUUACCAAUCCUGCAGCUUCUGUAAAGUCAUCACAUGUCCAACGGGGCUGGUGGUCAUGAAUGGAGCUUGUGAAAGUGGUGCUAUUUUGAGGGGGCAGACAGGAACCCCUGUGCUUUAUCUUUCAGGAGUUCUCCCCGGAUUCUUUCUUCCCCUUCCAUCUGAACCUCUAUGUCCUGUCUGCAAUCGCUGUUUCAAGGAGCAGAACUAAGGGAAGGGCCUGAGAGGGAAGGCAGCUGGGACUGAUUUAAAGAAGCGCCCAGAAACACGCUACGGGCUGGGGUGUGACAAUCUCAGAGCCGGAACUCACCCCACACCCUGAAAUCAACAACCCCACUUGCCACCCUCCUUUUAAGUCAGGACAGCAGGCUUUGAAUCAGCAGCCUUCCUCCCCAGGACUCUGCACUGGCCUGGGCCACUUGCCAGCCUGAUGUCCUUGCUCCUCCCCCUCCCAGGUGCACUGAGAUACACUAUGGGCAGGGGUAUGACUCUCACAGUCGGCCAGGACCCUCACCCCACACGACACCACCCCACACCCUGAAAACAAAGACCCUGCUUUCAAUCAGCACCCUCCAGCCUUUUGACCCAGCUUGAAAGCAAGCACCACCCAACAUUUGUUCAUGGUACCUGUUUGUAAGUGUCUUCCUUUAACAGGUGUCUGGCAGAGGAAGAAGAGGCUCAGGUGGGAGGGAAGAAAAAGCUUGAAGAAAUACAACAGUUAUGAGCUCAGCAGGUCCCCCCAAGACCCCUGGUUUGACACAGUGCAUUCACUACCCGAAGGCCAGCUUUCUAGAGCUCAACUCCAUGUGGAACAGACCGGUUGUGGCAAACUGCAUGGCCAAAAAAUAAUCCAUGUAUUUCUGGGUCCAGAGUUGAGCCUCCAAACAAAGGGGACAGUCUGUCAACUCUCUAGCCACUGGGCCAACUGGCCUUUCAGGAAUUGAACCAUAGAUGUGAUGUAAGAAUUAUUUCCCCUCCCUCAGAGGAGGAAAAUUUGGCCAGAGAGUCCGAGGUACCACAUACCAAAACAGAAGGCUCUGGGAACCUCCUUGGGAUGCUAAAGACCCAUCUCCAACCUUGCCUCUCAGCCUGAAGAUGAAGUCUGGGAGCUGCAGGGAGGGGCGCCAACGGUGCUCUGCCGCCAUCCGGUGGCCAUCUGCUCUAACAGCAACUCCCAGCCCUUCCUGUCUCCCACAGCAGAACCCUGGUCUGCAGUGGCCUGGGGACCUUAGCAGUACUGGGGUGUAUUGCGUGCAGAGCAGUACCCACAGCAAGCACACAAGUUUUUCAGUUGUUUCCUGGGCACCAGGGACUCUCUGCUCCCAGAUUCCUCAUGUCAGGCAGAGGACACGUGUCCUUUCAGGAUUUUGAGAUGGAUUCACAACCUGGUUGGGUGGCAGUGUGUUUAGAAUGCUUGAAGGAUCCACUGGGUUUCAGAAUGCCUUGUGUUCCUCCAGAGGCAGGGGCUGAGACCCACGGAGCAUUUGUG
rnacentral:lncRNA from 1 species